CUGAAAGGUAGUAACAACACUGGGGAGGCAGAGAAUGGUGAGCUUUCUUGCUGGGACAGGGACAGCAGUGGAACUCCAUGACAAGUUUGUGCUAGGACCUGGGAUGUUCUGUGGUACUCAUGACCAUCCUUGAUAAAAUAAUGACCACAAGUGGGAAGAGGAUAUUCUGCCACAUAAAAUUCUGACCUAACAUAGUACUGAUACUUCUGUGUAAAGAUCCCUCCAUCAUGGUGCAAAAAAUGCUCUACUGGACUUUGAUAUAAUUUCUUGUUAUUUUGGACAUGGAGAAGUGGAACAACUGUUUUUGAGCUUACAGACACUUCACAGCACCCCAAGGAGACCUGGGCAAGCAGAAGUUCCCUAGCAGGUACAAGACAAGGGCAGUGAUGACUGAAGUCAGUCCAUAUUGUUCAGCUUGCAAUGCCCUCAGACUUCAGUGAGUGCCAUGUAUUUCUUCAGGAUGUUUUGCUCCAGAGAUUACAACAUAUGUAAAGCAUUCUGGAAAAGCAGCAGACAGGUUUUUAUCGUUUCCACUAGCCCCCAAAUGAGAAACACGUCCUGGGAGAUGUGUCAGGAUGGCUGCCGUGACGACUGCAUUUACCUGGUUUGGACUUCAGCCAAGAGAAGCAGCUCUUGUGUGCCACGGACUGAGGCAUGGCCUUUGAAUCCAGUGCACCAGAGCAUCACUGCAGGGCAUGAGGGAAUUUUGCUAACUCAGUCCUGCAUGGGCAGGAUCUGUGGCAGGAGGGGUACUCUGUCUGCAGUGACCAGUAUAUAUCCCCAUUGCAAAUUCCAGGGGCUGCCCAGGAGGCAACAGGACCUUCUCCUCUGCCCUUGGGAUUUGCAGGGUGCAUUGAGGCUCCCUGUGAUAGGACCAAGGGGACAUGAUGCUCCCUAUUAAUGCUGCUGGCUUUUAAUUAGCCUUACUGGUGACUUCUGAGGGGACUCACCACCUUUUGAGCAGCACACAGCUGGUUCAUGUUGGCGUUUGAUUUGGGAACUUCUUAUUACUUAUUAAUCUGCAAAAUAAAUCACAUCCUGGUAUAUGGUUACA
rnacentral:lncRNA from 1 species